ACCAUACUAACUAGGAGUGAUUCUGGAGGAAAUGAAAAGCUGAUACCUGAUGAAAUAUCAGAGUGAGAAGCUGCAUAUGAUGAGUCCUGGAUGGAACAAACUGUGUCAUUAAUGGAAGUACAAUGUCUGAAUCCACCUUCUGCAACUUGGAUGUGUCGAGUAUUGGCUCAGCAAUAAUUUAUCACUUGAGGAGCACUGCACAGACCAAGCGUGGUCAGACUGUGACCACCUCCUCCUCCUGCUGAUUAAUGGAAGAUGAGGUAGGCAGGGGGUGAUCAAGAAUAGCCAGCCGAGGUGUCCUGGAGGAUAUUAGGAGGUUUGUUGUGUUUGACCUCCAUGAAGUUAACAACAGACAGAGGAGACAACCUGUUCAGUCUGCUGAGCACUGAAGACCCGUGACCCACACUCCUCAGUAACCAGCCCACUCCAGGAUCCGUGUGAAGGCUCUCAGCUGAUGUCCCCUAUAAUUUUGGAUAUCAGACCGACAGUGAUGAAGAACAAAGCACCCUCUGAGGGCACAGGUGUGAGUUCAAGACAAAGUCAUUUCACAGAGUUACAGAAUAUGCCCAGUUGGAAGGGACCCACAAGGAUCAUCAAGUCCAGCUCCUGGCCCUGCACAGGACCAUCCCCAAGAGUCACACCAGGUGCCUGAGAGUAUCACCCAAACGCUUCUUGAGCUCUGGUAGCCUUGCUGCUUGGAAUGCACUGUGACCAAAGGGGCUGUUUACCUCCCUUGGAGACUUAAAGAAUUCCAGUGACUCUGAAAUCAAGGCAUCAAACCAGAGAAGUUCAAAUCUUCUAUGAGAUCAGUUCUUCUGAUUUUUUUUCCUGCUGCAUUAAAGUGCAACUAUUUAAAAUGUAAAGAAAUGCCCAAGCCUGCCAGGAGGUGCUCCUCCCUGCAGCUCCUGUUGGAGUGUUUUGGGAUGUCCUGAGGCCAGCUGGAGCACAGCAGCCACAUCCCUGCCAACACAUCCCCUGGACAGAGGGCAAAGGGUGCUCCUGUGGAUUGCAGUCUUUCAUUACAGCUCCUAUCACUGUCAAAGAGUUCUUCCAGGGACAUCCCAGAAUCUCCCUUUAGCCUCAGAAAAGUCCCCAAAUACUGCAGGAGAACUUAGUCCAAGAGAUUAUGGCCACUAGAGCAAUGACAGGAAGGAUCUGGUAGUGUCUGGUGUAGAAAGGGGGUGAAAUGAUGAUUCUGAUGUGUGAAUGAGGACCAGGAGCUUCAGGAAUUAAUUUCUGUCUCUAAAGAUGAAUUCAGAAAGGUAGGUUCAGGACUGUAAGUAACACCUUCCUUCCACCUUGCUCUCUUCUCUCUGGGUGGGGUAUGGAGUUGACUUUUCAAGGUAAUGCUCACACUCUGUGUGGCUCUGGAAGUGUGCAGUGCUCAGCUUGGACUCUCCACCCUGAACAAAGCCUUUACAAAGUGGAGUUUUAGGUGGUUUUCACCUAUAAAACUGGGUUGGUGUUUUGAGUUUCUACCAAAUCUAUGCAGGAAUACAGUGGAGAAAUUUGUUUUUGAUACAAUGUAGUUUAACAAAAAUCCAGCUCAUUUGGCACAUAUUGUCAGUAUAAUUGGAAAGAAGUGGAGCUCCUCCUGCAAAAGCCAUUUCUAGGAAUGAAGUCAGAAAGCACAACCCAGCAGCUGUUCCAACAGCUCCAUUUGGAUGUGGCUGUCUUUCUGUCCAUGCCCCAAGUAAAUUGCUCGGAAACCAGCCAGAAAUAAAUGGGGAGGAAUUGGUGUGCUGACAACAGUGUGCUUUGAUUUGUCUUCUCACCCUACCACCAGCUGUCUGGCCUCGGGAGCUGACCUUUAUUUAAUUGGGACAAGUCUGGAAGGAUCACUACAAAGCAGCAGGUCCCUGUGUUUGUUCCCCCACCUAUUUGUGAGAAGAGGGUGGUCCAGGGAGUAGAACUGUGGUCUGCUGAAGCAGUUGCCUGCUCCUGUCAGGGCUCUCAGAGAAGCUUCAGAAGGAGGUGAAAUAAAGCUCUCUUGCUCCCAGGAAGCUACACGGUGCUGCUCACCAGGGUGGAAUGAGGAAUGCUAUCCUCAGGUGCUCUGCUCCACAGGAGGAGGUUUGUUAGAGGCAAUUUCCUCAGAGCCCUUUUCUUCCUUGCUCAGAGCCCUGUCCCUCAAGCUUCUUCUGCAGCACACCAAGAGAGGUUUUGUUAAGGGAAGGAGGGAGAAUCCUGCACAGGUGUUAAACACCAGCAAGUGGCUCUUUGGGCAAAUGCUCUGGUGCUGGGCUCUGUCUGUGGGAUGGGGAUACACUGGGGUGGAGGUUUCACCUCACUCGAGCACAAUGGGGGACACCUUUUCAAAAUCAGCCUCUUUUGUGCCUCCCUACUGUGACUGCUGCACUCACAGAAGGGAUUUCUAAUUAUUUUUUUUUUUCAGGAAAGGUGCUUGAAAAAAUGUUUCUAAUGAAAUGCUUCUGGGUGCGUAAUCAGAAUUUUUUUAAUGGUUCAUGUCAUAAGUGCAAAGAAUUUUGGCUAAAGUUGAAGGUAAGGGUUUUUUUAAUCAGCAAUAUGCUCAUUAUUCACUUCCCACUCUCAGCCAAGACAAGAAAAACAGCAGCUUUCUGAUGAAAAGAAGAGGAUCCAUCAGGUCCCACUCACUUUUCAUGAACUAAGAACUGAUGUCAGUGACUGUCAGAUUCAAGUGAUUUUCCCCAUAAAUCUCCUCUUUACUGGCAAAAAGGAAUCAUUGUUCCCUAACACUGCACAAGCUUUUUGUUCAGGUUUGCUGUGUAUAAAAUUUAAUGAGAACAGGCACGGAACACAUCAAGAGCUGAGCAUGUGUCAGUUACAAACCGUGUGUUUGAAAACCUUUUCCUAUAAUUAUCUCCAUUUCCAGUCCCCUACUCAGGGAGGAUGAGGAAAGGGCCUUGUGUGCUCUUGGCAACAGUGCCUUCCCAAAGCAGCAGGAGAAGUGCCUGACUGACAGAAUUGGAUGUGGCUGGAGGAAAGGGAGAGAGGAGAAGGAAUUCAUCUGAGUCCAAAGUGAGGUGUCCCUGAGGCCCCGCUUCUGUGGCUGUUCUUCAAUUUAGAGGGAUUGGGUGGUUUUAUUGACUGACUGGGCUGGUUGUGAUAAUCUUGUCUGCUGGUCACCCAUCUGCUCUAUCUCAGUUUGUGCUCUGUCCCUGUCCCAGGGAGCUGGUUAUGGUCUAUCCCUGUCCCGAGGAGGUGGUUAUGGUCCAUCUUUCCAUCAGCAUGUGGAGGGUACAACACAGUGGGGUCCUGGGCUGGGACACUGAGGACUGGUGCAUGAGGAAUGAUGGUCCUGGUGAGGACUGGGAAAACAGUGACAUCCCCUGGGAUGCUCACAGACAAAGCUGAUCCUACGUUAAUGCACACACACAGCAGAGUAACAGUGGCCUCAGCCACCUGUGUCCUUGGCACCCUGUGCCUUUAGAAACACAGCCUGUAUCAGUUUUCCACAAACAGUCUGUGAUAAACUCCAGCUGCAGGGAGGAAACAGUGAUGCUCGUGGACAGCCUGCACUAUCCUGAGGCUCACUGCUCCAGGGCACAGCAGGUACUUUUGGGAACCCUGUUUAACCUGCAUAGACUGAAGUCUCUGUGUUGGCUGCAACUCACCAGCCUGUGCAGACUUCGGACCUUUUGCUGCCCUGAGAGGAGGAACACAAGCUCAGAUUUUGCCUUCAUUUUGUGACAGAAAUAACCACCAUGGCUCUCUUAGUUCUAAUCAGAAAUGUAGUUUUUUUCUUUAGGGCUAUUUCUUUUCUAAAAACAGGAGUAGCCAGGCUUUUAGGUCACAGGAGGGAGGGAUGCAGCCAGGAUGGGAGCUGUUCCUACCAUUCACCACUCAGUGUGAGGGGGCAAAGCUGGGACUGAGAGGUCCUUGGUGCCAGAGUCAAGCAGCUCUGUCAUGGGAAGAAUGGAAGUUUCAUCCAAAAUUUUUCAGAGAUGCCCUCCAGUUGAGCCAUGAGGUGCAAAAAGGACCCCCUGGCUUCCCAAACCCCUUCUCAGAGAGGAAUUUGUGUGUGGCUGGAUCCAAUUCUAGUCCCAGAUUUGGUCUAGGACUGGAAUGUCUAAAAAUUAGACUUUAGACUAGAAUGUCUAAAAGAUUAUAGAAGUGUAAAUGAGCCCCUCUACAACUUUGUCCCACAGAAUUAAGGAUGGCAAACCAAAUGUAUACAAAAUUAAUUACUCUCUUCAAUUGAUGAUUAGAAUGAUUAGAAUAAAGCAUCUUAAUCAGAAUUAUCUGCUACACAACAUCGGUAGUCCUAAGUACAAUUAUAGUACAUUACUUAUUAAGUCAAUAAUUUCAAAGCCAUCUUACUAAUUAUCAAGUAGAGAUUGAAGUUACACCAAUGUCUGCAGGCUCAGCCCUGAGAUGUGACCUUGAGCGGUGUCACCACUCCAGGGACGAAUCUCCAUGCACACUUCUAGGAGGGGUAUGUUAGAACAUCCUGUCAUCCACCCCUGUCCCUGGAAGUGUCCAGGGCCAGGUUGGAUGGGGCUUGGAGCAACUUGUGAAAGGUGUCCCUGCCAUGGCAGGGGGUAGAAAAAUAUAGGCUUUAAGGUCCCUUCCAACCCAUACCACUCUGGAAUUCUAAAUGUUCUUUCAAUGGUUAUAGGUGAGUGUUGCCCUCACACAGGUAUUUUACAACAAUAAAAUUCAGCUUUUGUGAUGCUGUGAUUCAUUAUCUUAACUCUUAGGAGUAUGCUCUUAGAAAUGUCAAGAUUUGUCAUCUUAAAAGGCAGAAAUCAAUCAGCAAGUGAAAACAAGCACAAGGAUGUAUUGUAAUUUUUUAAUGACUUUUUGAGGCAAUUAGAAGUUAAUCUAAAUCCUUGCUUCUACAAAACCCUUGUCCUAGAAAGUUAUUGCGGGAAAUGAGAAUUCCCAUCUACUUGAAAGCUUUUCCUCAAAAUCCAGAGGUUUGGCCAGUGCUGGAGACAGAGGUGGUGGUGUCUUUUGCACAGGGUAGAAAUCCAGCCUUCUUUGUAUAAGGACCGUCCAGAAAAACAUAGUGAUUUUUGGAUGGAAAUGAUGGGGAGGAACCACAAGAGUGAAAUAAAGUGUUUUCUUUCCCAUCUCCAAUCUCUAAAGAGAACAGUAAAUAUUUCAUCUUGUUUGUGAUCGUCUGCCACACUCCAGCAGUUUAUCGGGUACAUUAAUAAAUGUAUGAAACGUGACCUCAGUAUAGUUGAGCAUCAAACAUGGGGUUGGCAUGAACCACAUGGACCCCGAGAGGUGCAGUGCAUUUGCUUUCUCGGCUCUUACCUUGCACAGCCCGCCCAGCGUUGGUGUUGGAGUGACUUUGGAAAUGUUUACCAGGACUGUGCUUUAAGCUCAGCAUUCAAUUAAUAAAAAGAGAAAGAGGUCGUGCCCAUAAUUUGUGUUUGGCAUUGGAGAACUCGCGGGUUGUCAAUAGCAUUUUAUUUUUUUCUUUGCAAUCUAUUAAAGGUGUUUAAUUUCAUUUUAACCUUAAACAGUUAGAGCUGGUAGUAGCCAUCAACACUAAAUUAAUACAGUUGUUUACAGGCAUUAAUUGCCAUGGCUGAGUGGUAACAGUGCCUCGACAAAGUAAACCCCUGAUCUGACCAUCUCCCAGGGAGCGUGUCCAAAGCAGUGGGUUACGGAGCUGCGAGACGUCUUCUGCAGUUAGGACUGAGUGAUCCUUAUUAACUGCCCUGUGCCAUGAGGGGCACAGCCUGUGUCCUCCUCGGGUUCUGAUUUCCUGCCCUUCAUUUACUGAGUGUGUACAUCAAAGCAGAAGUAAUUUCCCAUAAUGGAGUGGGGUGUGAGUGCAAUGGAGCCCAGACAGUAAUAGCUACAACUGCUUGGAGAUGCUUUUGUACAGUAGCAUUUUAUUGAUGUUUCUUCCUGAUAACUCUUCACUGAGUGCAAGCAAAAUAAACUGGAGUAGUAAAUGCCUUGGAAACCAUUUUGGAGAGAUGACCUGAAUGUUUCUGCCUUCUGUACCUUUGACAGCGGUGAGUGUGUAAGGAGAGUUGCCUCCAAAGGAAAGGCAUGGCAGUAAAUGAUGCAAAUUGGCAAGAUUACAGAACGUAAUGAAUCCAAAGAAGAUUUAAAAAUAUAAUUGGAAAGAAUGUCAAAGGAAAAAAUGCUUAGUGUGUUUUGUCUGUUAUUGGGACUUGAGCUCACAUCCUAUUAAGAAAUUUGCCCAUGCCAAGGAAAGAGAUGAAAUGUCUC